UACGGAGGAUCCAAGCGUUAUCCGGAUUUAUUGGGUUUAAAGGGUGCGUAGGCGGCCUAUUAAGUCAGGGGUGAAAGACGGUAGCUUAACUAUCGCAGUGCCCUUGAUACUGAUGGGCUUGAAUGUACUAGAGGUAGGCGGAAUGUGACAAGUAGCGGUGAAAUGCAUAGAUAUGUCACAGAACACCAAUUGCGAAGGCAGCUUACUAUUGUAUGAUUGACGCUGAGGCACGAAAGCGUGGGGAUCAAACAGG
rnacentral:rRNA from 1 species